ACGGGGGGAGCAAGCGUUGUUCGGAUUUACUGGGUGUAGAGGGCGCGUAGGCGGCCACCACAAGUCGACUGUGAAAUCUCCGGGCUUAACCCGGAAAGGUCAGCCGAUACUGCGGGGCUCGAGUGCAGAAGGGGCAACUGGAAUUCUCGGUGUAGCGGUGAAAUGCGUAGAUAUCGAGAGGAACACUCGUGGCGAAGGCGAGUCACUGGACAGUAUCUGACGCUGAGGCACGAAGGCCAGGGUAGCGAAAGGGA
rnacentral:rRNA from 1 species